GUUGAUCAUAGCUCAACUGGAUAGAGCAACAGACGUAUAAUCUGUAGGUUCCGGGUUCGAUCCCCGGUAUCAAAUC
rnacentral:tRNA from 1 species